rnacentral:rRNA from 1 species
GUGGGGAAUAUUGGACAAUGGGCGAAAGCCUGAUCCAGCCAUGCCGCGUGCAGGAUGAAGGCCUUCGGGUUGUAAACUGCUUUUGUACGGAACGAAAAGACUCCUUCUAAUAAAGGGGGUCCAUGACGGUACCGUAAGAAUAAGCACCGGCUAACUACGUGCCAGCAGCCGCGGUAAUACGUAGGGUGCGAGCGUUAAUCGGAAUUACUGGGCGUAAAGCGUGCGCAGGCGGUUAUAUAAGACAGAUGUGAAAUCCCCGGGCUCAACCUGGGAACUGCAUUUGUGACUGUAUAGCUAGAGUACGGCAGAGGGGGAUGGAAUUCCGCGUGUAGCAGUGAAAUGCGUAGAUAUGCGGAGGAACACCGAUGGCGAAGGCAAUCCCCUGGGCCUGUACUGACGCUCAUGCACGAAAGCGUGGGGAGCAAACAGGAUUAGAUACCCCGGUAGUCC